UAAUAUACUUCCCAGAUAUGACUGAGCACUGGACUACCACAGAGGUUUGCCAGUGGCUUGAUGAAGUGUCACUGGGACACGCGAAACCAGCAUUCAUCGAAUGAAGUAGAUGGUCCAACGCUAUUAAAAAUGACUGAAAGAAUGAGUGAACGUCUCUUCCCAAAAAUCAAAGAACAGAUACAAUUUAUGUCUGCAUUGGAAGACCUGAAAUCCCACCGUGACCUCACUGAACAUGUAAUAUCACAGACCACUCCAGUGGUUCUGCACUCCAAUACUGAAGUACGGUAUCCUACAUUUCUAAUGAGUGCCCUUGAAAAGCAGGACCCGCAGCUGAAGUCUCCUACUAAGAAUAAAUAAAAAAAUGCAUUAAC